GACGAACGCUGGCGGCGUGCUUAACACAUGCAAGUCGAACGGAAAGGCCCUGCUUUUGUGGGGUGCUCGAGUGGCGAACGGGUGAGUAACACGUGAGUAACCUGCCCUUGACUUUGGGAUAACUUCAGGAAACUGGGGCUAAUAACGGAUAGGAGCUCCUGCUUCAUGGUGGGGGUUGGAAAGUUUCGGCGGUUGGGGAUGGACUCGCGGCUUAUCAGCUUGUUGGUGGGGUAGUGGCUUACCAAGGCUUUGACGGGUAGCCGGCCUGAGAGGGUGACCGGCCACAUUGGGACUGAGAUACGGCCCAGACUCCUACGGGAGGCAGCAGUGGGGAAUAUUGCACAAUGGGCGGAAGCCUGAUGCAGCAACGCCGCGUGCGGGAUGACGGCCUUCGGGUUGUAAACCGCUUUCGCCUGUGACGAAGCGUGAGUGACGGUAAUGGGUAAAGAAGCACCGGCUAACUACGUG
rnacentral:rRNA from 1 species